rnacentral:rRNA from 1 species
ACUCCUACGGGAGGCAGCAGUGGGAAUAUUGGACAAUGGGCGAAAGCCUGAUCCAGCCAUGCCGCGUGUGUGAAGAAGGCCUUAGGGUUGUAAAGCACUUUAAGCAGGAAAGAAAAGCGCCGGAUUAAUACUCCGAGCGUAUUGACGGUACCUGCAGAAUAAGCACCGGCUAACUCCGUGCCAGCAGCCGCGGUAAUACGGAGGGUGCAAGCGUUAAUCGGAAUUACUGGGCGUAAAGCGUGCGUAGGCGGUUGCGUGUGUCGGAUGUGAAAGCCCCGGGCUCAACCUGGGAAUUGCAUUCGAAACUGCGUGACUAGAAUGUGGUAGAGGAAGACGGAAUUCCACGUGUAGCGGUGAAAUGCGUAGAUAUGUGGAGGAACACCAAUGGCGAAGGCAGUCUUCUGGGCCAACAUUGACGCUGAGGUACGAAAGCGUGGGUAGCAAACAGGAUUAGAUACCCUGGUAGGCUCUG